rnacentral:rRNA from 1 species
UACGUAUGGUGCAAGCGUUAUCCGGAUUUACUGGGUGUGAAGGGAGCGUAGGCGGCGCGUUAAGUCUGAUGUGAAAACCCGAGGCUCAACCACGGGAGUGCAUUGGAAACUGGCGAGCUGGAGUGCCGGAGAGGUAAGCGGAAUUCCUAGUGUAGCGGUGAAAUGCGUAGAUAUUAGGAGGAACACCAGUGGCGGAGGCGGCUUACUGGACGGCAACUGACGCUGAGGCUCGAAAGCGUGGGGAGCAAACAGG